GUACACAAAAAUGCACAUAUUGUGAGCUCGAUGAGUAGGGCGGGACACGUGGUAUCCUGUCUGAAUAUGGGGGGACCAUCCUCCAAGGCUAAAUACUCCUGACUGACCGAUAGUGAACCAGUACCGUGAGGGAAAGGCGAAAAGAACCCCGGCGAGGGGAGUGAAAAAGAACCUGAAACCGUGUACGUACAAGCAGUGGGAGCCUCUUUAUGGGGUGACUGCGUACCUUUUGUAUAAUGGGUCAGCGACUUAUAUUCUGUAGCAAGGUUAACCGAAUAGGGGAGCCGAAGGGAAACCGAGUCUUAACUGGGCGUUAAGUUGCAGGGUAUAGACCCGAAACCCGGUGAUCUAGCCAUGGGCAGGUUGAAGGUUGGGUAACACUAACUGGAGGACCGAACCGACUAAUGUUGAAAAAUUAGCGGAUGACUUGUGGCUGGGGGUGAAAGGCCAAUCAAACCGGGAGAUAGCUGGUUCUCCCCGAAAGCUAUUUAGGUAGCGCCUCGUGAAUUCAUCUCCGGGGGUAGAGCACUGUUUCGGCAAGGGGGUCAUCCCGACUUACCAACC
rnacentral:rRNA from 1 species